rnacentral:rRNA from 1 species
UACGUAGGGACCAAGCGUUGUCCGGAAUCAUUGGGCGUAAAGCGCGCGUAGGUGGCCAUUUAAGUCCGCUGUGAAAGUCAGAGGCUCAACCUUUGAAAGCCGGUGGAUACUGGAUGGCUAGAGUACGGAAGAGGCGAGUGGAAUUCCUGGUGUAGCGGUGGAAUGCGCAGAUAUCAGGAGGAACCCCAACAGCGAAGGCAGAUCUCUGGG